rnacentral:tRNA from 1 species
GCGGAUGUGGCGGAACUGGCAGACGCGCACGUUUGAGGGGCGUGUGGGUAACUCCAUGUGGGUUCAAGUCCCACCAUCCGCACCA